GGUUCGCUAGCUCAACUGGAUAGAGCAACUGCCUUCUAAGCAGUAGGUUCCAGGUUCGAGUCCUGGGCGAAUCA
rfam:Fulvivirga imtechensis AK7 contig153, whole genome shotgun sequence.